rnacentral:rRNA from 1 species
CCUACGGGAGGCAGCAGUGAGGAAUAUUGGUCAAUGGGCGCGAGCCUGAACCAGCCACGUAGCGUGAAGGAUGACUGCCCUACGGGUUGUAAACUUCUUUUAUAAAGGAAUAAAGUGAUGCACGUGUGCCUUUUUGUAUGUACUUUAUGAAUAAGGAUCGGCUAACUCCGUGCCAGCAGCCGCGGUAAUACGGAGGAUCCGAGCGUUAUCCGGAUUUAUUGGGUUUAAAGGGAGCGUAGAUGGGUUGUUAAGUCAGUUGUGAAAGUUUGUGGCUCAACCGUAAAAUUGCAAUUGAUACUGGCAGUCUUGAGUACAGUUGAGGUAGGCGGAAUUCGUGGUGUAGCGGUGAAAUGCUUAGAUAUCACGAAGAACUCCGAUUGCGAAGGCAGCCUACUAAACUGCCACUGACAUUGAUGCUCGAAAGUGUGGGUAUCAAACAGGAUUAGAUACCCCAGUAGUC